AUUUAUAUAGUAUAGUAUUAUAUUUGACUUCCAAUCAAAAGACCUAGAAAUAGUGUAAAUA
rnacentral:tRNA from 1 species